UCGUGCGAGAAGGAGACUUCGGUCUCUGAGUAGAGCGGCGCACGGGUGAGUAACGCGUGGAUGAUCUACCCUUGAGUUCGGGAUAACGGUGCGAAAGCGCCGCUAAUACCGUAUAACAAUCCAUUUCAUCGUGGGUUCAAAGCAGGCCUCUUCGUGAAAGCUUGCGCUUGGGGAUGAGUCCGCGUCCCAUUAGCUUGUUGGCGGGGUAACGGCCCACCAAGGCUACGAUGGGUAGCUGGUCUGAGAGGAUGAUCAGCCACACUGGAACUGAAACACGGUCCAGACUCCUACGGGAGGCAGCAGUGGGGAAUAUUGCGCAAUGGGGGAAACCCUGACGCAGCGACGUCGUGUGAGGGAAGAAGGCCUUCGGGUCGUAAACCUCUGUCAGAAGGGAAGAACAUCCGGGAGUCGAACAGCCUCCCGGCCUGACGGUACCUUCAGAGGAAGCGCCGGCUAACUCCGUGCCAGCAGCCGCGGUAAUACGGAGGGCGCAAGCGUUAAUCGGAAUCACUGGGCGUAAAGCGUGCGUAGGCUGUUUGAUAAGUCAGGCGUGAAAUCCCUCGGCUCAACCGGGGAACUGCGUUUGAUACUGUUGAACUAGAGUCCUGGAGAGGGUGGCGGAAUUCCUGGUGUAGGAGUGAAAUCCGU
rnacentral:rRNA from 1 species